GAUGAAGAACGCAGCGAAAUGCGAUACGUAAUGUGAAUUGCAGAAUUCAGUGAAUCAUCGAAUCUUUGAACGCAUAUUGCGCUCUCUGGUAUUCCGGAGAGCAUGCUUGUUUGAGUAUCGGUAAACACCUCAACUCCCUUUUCUUUUUUGAAAUUGGAGCUGGACUUGAGUGAUCCCAACGCUUUCUUCCAAGAAAGUGGCGGGUUGCUUGAAAUGCAGGUGCAGCUGAACUUUUCUCUGAGCUAUAAGCAUAUCUAUUUAGUCUGCCUAAAAAACAGAUUAUUACCUUUGCUGCAGCUAACAUAAAGGAGACUAGUUCUUGUGCUGACUGAUGCAGGAUUCACAGAGACAGCUUCGGCUGACUUUGUAAACUCGAUCUCAAAUCAAGUAAGACUACCCGCUGAACUUAAGCAUAUCAAUAAGCGGAGGA
rnacentral:misc_RNA from 1 species